rnacentral:lncRNA from 1 species
CCGUAGUUAUAACCAAUAGCUAGGUGAUAAACAACGUUCUUCUAAACAACGGUAAGUAAUUUAAUUGUGUUGUGUGUACGUAUAUAGACGCAAUCUCAUCACCAUAAAACGACAAGAAGCUCAGGUUUUGGGGGUAUAUUGGGUAUCAUUCCAUGAACCCCAGCACUUAGCAUGGGGGCUCCAUAUGGUGUUGACAUGUGAGGCUUUGUAGCGUUUCCAGUCGUGAAGAACAAGAGUGAGAUCAAAGACUUUGGCAGAGAUGUGACGGCAGCAGUUGGCGUGGACGGUGGUGACAGCACCCAUGUCAGGGCUAUCUUGGCAGAAACCGCUGAAGUGUGUGGUGUUGAGGAAGCCAACGGUGAGACCAAGCUGGUUGAAUAAACCCAAGUCGAGGAGAUUCUUGAGGACGUCUUGUUCUUUCAUGCCUGUCGAGUUGAGUCUCAUGUCGUACCAUUUCUGGAAAAGAGAGAUGGUCCUGUUGUUGGAACGGACGUGGUAGAAGCCAGUGUUUAUCAAGUGUCCUCCUAUGCCGCUGUCCACGCUUAUCUGCAUAUCCAAGGUCCCGUUGUUGCUUAGCCGAGAGAAGGGGUUCCUUAGCCACAUCACGUCCGUGUCCUGACAAAUUAACAUUCUCUGUGUGUUUUAAGUGUUUUUGUAAAAUAACUUUUUCUUUGUAAAAUAAAUGUAGUUCUAUUGUUUCAGUGCAAUUUUUCUCAUAAAUUAAUAUUUUAUCGUUAAUUAAAUUAAAAAAAAAUAAAUGUUAUGAAAUUUAAAUAGUAAAAUAAGGGUGACAUUAAACAUUUAACUAGUUUGUGUGAACAAAAUUAAAACCAGGUCUAAUUUGAAACCAGGUCUAACUGAAGAGAGUUUUAAGAAACGUUCUUAGUUAAAGUUAAGAGAACUCCAUCCUAAGAACCCUCAAUAAUCAUAUCAGAAACAAAGGUUUUGAAACCCUAAAGUGUGUUGUGUUUUAUAUUUUUAUGUUCCAAAGCCGACAACUAACUAACCGUGAAAAGGAGAUGGUAGCCACGGCGGAGAACUUCUAGGAGCAAUCGAGUUCUCCUCCACAUCAUCUCAAUGAAAUCAUCUGACAUAUAUACUUUCUCUCCCUCCAAGUCAAUUCCCUCCGUCUCCAUCUUGUAGCAAUGGAGCCUCCUGAAACGACAGCGAUCAUAGGCCGUCUGAUCCGCUGCAACCACCAUCAGAUGGUCCAGCAAUGGCAUGGUACCCUCUCCUUCCCAGAAACUCUCCAGGAACAGAUCCAGCAUCGUCCUCCCUCCUACAACCUCCUCCACGUACGCUUUGUUCACCAUCGUUAUAAUCACCGUCUUGUUGUUUCCUAUUGCUGCACUGUCCAGCGCCACCUCUAGGUCGUCCACUGGAAACUUUAUCGUUCUCUGUCACCACUUCCGAAGUAUUAAUACAUAUACUAUACCCUAUAUAUACACUUACUUUAGGUUCCAGUAUAUUAUACGAAACAACUUACCAGAAUGUUAAAAUUGUGUUGGAGGCCGGAGACAGGAUCAGAGAUCAAACGUGAGGAGAAGCAGAUAUAUAGAGCGCCGGCAAAGAGGAGAGCAACAGCCACGACGAGAUUGCCGGAAGAGUUAUUGGAGAGAGGCAUUUUUUUUUUUGAAAUUAUAUGUUAAAUUAAUUCAAAGAAAAAUACACUAUUUUAAAAUUAUGAAACUUUAAUAAUUUGAGUUUUGUAGUUGAGAGGCAUGUUUUCACGGUAUCGGAUUAUUAGAAGUAGGUGACUCAUGUAUGUUAUGUGCCCCUUUCUCACUCCCUUUUAAUUUGUACACAACAAUUUUAACCUACAAGUUUAUAUGCUAAAUAAUACUACCUUCCAGAUCAAACUACCUUACAGAUCACCAAAUAACCUAAUCAGUUGCAGGUCAAUCAAAGUAGAAACAUUUUCCCAAAAGGAAGAAAGAAACAAGCAUUAGACCAAACUUCUCCAUUUACUGAAACCAGUACCUACAAUUGUCUCUUUCUCGUAUUCAGAUAUUUCCUAGUGGGAAAUCGACUGCGGAUCCUAGAUACUCCUGUAAACAUUUUGCAGGAUUAGAUUAUCACAAUAAAGGAGCUCAUCAAACUCAAUUCAACCAAUCGUAGAUAUUAUUCCCUCUGUUCAUAAAAGUAGGAUUUUCUAGAUUUAUUUUUGUUCCAAAAUGAUAGAUUUUCUAAAAUUUUAAAGUAGUUUUAGUAGUUAAUAUUGAAAAGUUGUAUACUUUUAAAAAACAUUAAUUGAAAAUAUUUGAAUUGGUUGAAUACUAUUGGUCGAUAUUUGUUGGAAAAUGUAUAAUAAAAUAAAUAAUAAAUUCUAUUGUAAAUAUUUAUUAUAUUCUUAAUAUGCGUGAAUACUCUUGAAAAUCAUUUUUUCGGAAACGGAGGGAGUAAUAAAACUAAACCGAGCGAUUAUAACCGUAAUGCUAUUACGAGUUGGAUUACGUAAUCAACCGUGUCCUCAUUAUGAUAUCAGUUGAUCAGAAAUUCACAAAAGACAAAACUAUCAAAAAGAAUAAUUAUUGUAACAAUAAAUUUGUAGAUUGUAACCUGCGAAAGAGGAGCUGAAUAGAGUAACCGAGAACGUUGCGACAAGCGAAGAGGAAUAACAAGUAAAAAGUGUAAGUGGGGAUGAAUCCAGAAAUAUUGAGCAGAAUGUAAACGACACAUAAAGUUUGUUAACAGAGUUUGUUUCCUACAUUCUUAAGAUUUCGUCUAGAUUGGAAAUCCACUAGUGUUAAUUAAUUGUGUUGUGUGUACGUAUAUAGACGCAAUCUCAUCACCAUAAAACGACAAGAAGCUCAGGUUUUGGGGGUAUAUUGGGUAUCAUUCCAUGAACCCCAGCACUUAGCAUGGGGGCUCCAUAUGGUGUUGACAUGUGAGGCUUUGUAGCGUUUCCAGUCGUGAAGAACAAGAGUUAGAUCAAAG